GUGAGGAAUAUUGCGCAAUGGAGGCAACUCUGACGCAGCCAUGCCGCGUGCAGGAAGAAGGCGCUACGCGUUGUAAACUGCUUUUAACCGGGAAGAAACCCCAGGACGUGUCCUGGGUUGACGGUACCGGAGGAAUAAGCACCGGCUAACUUCGUGCCAGCAGCCGCGGUAAUACGAAGGGUACAAGCGUUAUCCGGAUUCAUUGGGUUUAAAGGGUGCGUAGGCGGAGCGUUAAGUCAGUGGUGAAAUCCUGCAGCUUAACUGUAGACUUGCCAUUGAUACUGGCGCUCUUGAGUGCGCUUGAAGUGGGCGGAAUGUGCCGUGUAGCGGUGAAAUGCUUAGAUAUGGCACAGAACACCAAUUGCGAAGGCAGCUCACUAAGGCGAUACUGACGCUGAGGCACGAAAGCGUGGGGAUCGAACAGGAUUAGAAACCCUUGUAGUCC
rnacentral:rRNA from 1 species